AUUGAACGCUGGCGGCAGGCCUAACACAUGCAAGUCGAGCGGAUGAAGGGAGCUUGCUCCUGGAUUCAGCGGCGGACGGGUGAGUAAUGCCUAGGAAUCUGCCUUGUCGUGGGGGAUAACGUCCGGACACGGGCGCUAAUACCGCAUCCGUCCUGAGUGUGAAAGUGGGGGAUCUUCGGACCUCACGCUAUCAGAUGAGCCUAGGUCGGAUUAGCUAGUUGGUGGGGUAAAGGCCUACCAAGGCGACGAUCCGUAACUGGUCUGAGAGGAUGAUCAGUCACACUGGAACUGAGACACGGUCCAGACUCCUACGGGAGGCAGCAGUGGGGAAUAUUGGACAAUGGGCGAAAGCCUGAUCCAGCCAUGCCGCGUGUGUGAAGAAGGUCUUCGGAUUGUAAAGCACUUUAAGUUGGGAGGAAGGGCAGUAAGUUAAUACCUUGCUGUUUUGACGUUACCAAAAGAAUAAGCACCGGCUAACUUCGUG
rnacentral:rRNA from 1 species